rnacentral:sRNA from 1 species
GGCGGCCUUUCGCUACUUGAGCACACACACGCGUAAGUGGAACGAGGGCGGCUGCAGUAGUUGGAGCUCCCCCUCCUGCCCCCGCCCCUUGUGGUGGGGCAUUGUCCUUAGCCUCACCGCAGGCUGAAAAGCGGAGCGUGCACAACAACAAUCGCCAGCGAGACGCCGCAACAAGGCGAAAAAGAGAGGGUAAUAGACAGGGACUUGGACUUGAUUGUAACAAUGUUGCACACUCAAGAUGCGCCAGGUAUUCGGCUAAGGCGAUAACGUGGCAAGGAUAACAAGGCAUUCGGACGGCGGAGUGCUGCACUCGGAAAUUAAACCUCUACUCAAAGGCAACUGUUUUAUUAAAGUUAUUUGAUCUUAAAAAUUUUAAUAAUUGUAUAAAAUAAUGUUAAGCAGAUAAUACUUAUUUUACAUAGAAUAUUGAAUUUAUGUUGUCAGAAACGAUAUUAAUCUUCAAUUUGUGUUUCUGGUUUUCCUUUCGAACUUGCUUACAAUGCACUUUCGCACACUUAUUUUUCCGCGUGUAAAGGUGGCAAAUAAGGCAGGUUGUAAGGGCUGUCUUGUUAUCAGGCAGCUCCUGGCUUGGUCCCCUCGACUGCCUCGAAGUGCGUAAUGCGCUCAUUACGUGCCGGCAUCAACAUGGCAUCCACAUGCCACACCGGUGGCGACUCCAACUCAGACCCCAACGCCAUGGCUGAACUAUUCCAUCAGCACUAGCUUGCAGUCCCACUCCUUGGUUUUCAAUUCGGUUUUCGGGCUUUGUCCCAGCUGGAACAUGGCAAUGUCAUGCCAAUUGCAUGCCUUUCCCAUCGCCGCCUUCUCUGAAAAGUCUGACGAGGAUUGGGGAAUGGGUGAAUCUGUGAAUCGGUGAAUUGGUGAAUCGGUGAAUCCGCUAUGACCAGUCGGGGGACGUCUGGGAGUCAGCCAGUCAGCGGCUAAUUAGAGAACCGCCUUUUGUGUCGGGUGAUAAGGCAAAAAUUGGAACUGGUGGCAAGAUUGCGGGCUGGCUUUGAUUCAUUCCCUGACCGAAUGCUCUGGCAUGGCAGAGUCGUGUCUGGCAAAUUGAUGAAAUUGUCAGCGAUUUGGCUGGCUGGUCACGGGGAUGGGAAAAUAGCUAAGGGUUUAGGUGAAUCGAUGGGGCUGAGUUUAAUUGGAUAAAUAACAAAUAAUUGGAUUUAGCAAUGAUGUUGAAAAAGUUAUACUCGAUAUUAAAAAUACUGAGCAUGGAGAUGGUGAACUGUAAAGUACGAAUAAUUGAAUUGAAAUGUUUCUCAAAUACUAAGCUGUAGAUGACCCUUGUAGACUGACACUUUCAACCCACCUCUCCUCACUUAACCUUGCAAAAAGUUCAUCAACCUAAAUAGCUAAAAUUCAGUUGAGUGGCAGCAACAUAAGCAAAAAUAGUGAUGAGUAGGUAUCAGUUUUGUACAUUUUUAUGGUGCUGCAUAUAUAAAAGCCACUGAAAAUGUGUACCUAAGUACCCCAAAGGGAACUCCCUUCAGUGGCAGCACAGACACCAGUGCAACAACAUCGGCAACAGCAGCGCAUCAAAAUUAAUGAUGCAGUGCAAACCGCUAAAUACUCCGAACUGCAACAGGGUCCAACACAGCACCUCCUCUCUCAUCCGACAUCCCUCUUUAUAUCAUGGCCUUCAAAUUGAGGUGCGAGGCAGGUGUUUUUGGCCCAGUGAUGUUUUUAGACACGUGCAACGAUGUCCGGCGGUCGAUGGAAGCGGAACAAAAGGCUUGCGGUCGCUGGCUGUUGGUAACAUGCCGCCGGUCAUGUCGGUUAUGGCCGUUGCUGUACUGUGGUCGUUGUCAAUGAAAGUCCAUAUGUCAAGGGACUUAGCAGCAGCAACGGCUCAAACGAGACAAAAUCAAUUUCCCUGCCCAGUUAACCAAGCAACAACAGCAACACGAGUCACAUUUAAAACGGAUUUGUAACGCCAACCAAUUAUUCACGCUAGGAAAAAAAUAGAAGGAAAGAAGCCAACUGCAGGUGGCAAACAAAAAAUUCAGAAGUGCAAGUGCCUCUGUCUUUGAAGCUGUGUAAUUGAAAUUACGUGACACUUUGCAUAUGCACUGGAUUUAAAUCGAGUUUCCAGUUGGCCAUCAAAGGCAGAAUGUGGGGUGAGUGCGGAGGGGCACAGUGGUGCCUGCCUAUUGUGGCACGCGUGGCUUACGGUUGGGAUCCCCCCCUUGUUCGAUGUUGUCUGUGGCUGCGAAAGUAAAAUGCAUCGAACCAACGUAGGCGACGGCUCAGAACUUUGACAAGUGCAUUCAAGUGCAGUCAGCGGGCAGGGGAAAUUAAGGGCAUGAAAAACGAGGAAGGAGGCCCAAACACGUGUUGGAAAAACCAUAAAGAAAUAUAUAAAAACGAAAACCUAAUUAGCAGCAGACAUGCUGCAAGGGAAAAUUAGAGGGAAAGAACGCAAGUUGGGGUUUAUGAGGUGCGGAAUCAGACUUAAGGCUUAGUGGGGAUAUCCACGGACAGCUGAAUUAAAUCAGGCGAAAAGCAAUUGGACCAAGGAUAUAACAUUAUUUAGGAGAGGGGAUAGUAA